rnacentral:rRNA from 1 species
GACGAACGCUGGCGGCGUGCUUAACACAUGCAAGUCGAACGGAAAGGCCUCUUUCGGGGGGUACUCGAGUGGCGAACGGGUGAGUAACACGUGAGUAACCUGCCCUUGACUUUGGGAUAACUUCAGGAAACUGGGGCUAAUACCGGAUAGGAGCUCCUGCUGCAUGGUGGGGGUUGGAAAGUUUCGGCGGUUGGGGAUGGACUCGCGGCUUAUCAGCUUGUUGGUGGGGUAGUGGCUUACCAAGGCUUUGACGGGUAGCCGGCCUGAGAGGGUGACCGGCCACAUUGGGACUGAGAUACGGCCCAGACUCCUACGGGAGGCAGCAGUGGGGAAUAUUACACAAUGGGUGGAAGCCUGGUGCAGCAACGCCGUGUGCGGGAUGACGGCCUUCGGGUUGUAAACCGCUUUCGCUCAUGACGAAGCUUUGUGUGACGGUAGUGGGUAAAGAAGCACCGGCUAACUACGUG